rnacentral:sRNA from 2 species
GACCACCCGCAAGGGUCGAGGCCAUACGGACAGCCGGGUCGGAUGCCGA